rnacentral:rRNA from 1 species
GAUGAACGCUGGCGGCGUGCCUAAUACAUGCAAGUCGAACGCACAGCGAAAGGUGCUUGCACCUUUCAAGUGAGUGGCGAACGGGUGAGUAACACGUGGACAACCUGCCUCAAGGCUGGGGAUAACAUUUGGAAACAGAUGCUAAUACCGAAUAAAACUUAGUGUCGCAUGACACAAAGUUAAAAGGCGCUUUGGCGUCACCUAGAGAUGGAUCCGCGGUGCAUUAGUUAGUUGGUGGGGUAAAGGCCUACCAAGACAAUGAUGCAUAGCCGAGUUGAGAGACUGAUCGGCCACAUUAGGACUGAGACACGGCCCAAACUCCUACGGGAGGCUGCAGUAGGGAAUCUUCCACAAUGGGCGAAAGCCUGAUGGAGCAACGCCGCGUGUGUGAUGAAGGCUUUCGGGUCGUAAAGCACUGUUGUAUGGGGAGAACAGCUAGAAUAGGGAAUGAUUUUAGUUUGACGGUACCAUACCAGAAAGGGACGGCUAAAUACGUGCCAGCAGCCGCGGUAAUACGUAUGUCCCGAGCGUUAUCCGGAUUUAUUGGGCGUAAAGCGAGCGCAGACGGUUGAUUAAGUCUGAUGUGAAAGCCCGGAGCUCAACUCCGGAAUGGCAUUGGAAACUGGUUAACUUGAGUGCAGUAGAGGUAAGUGGAACUCCAUGUGUAGCGGUGGAAUGCGUAGAUAUAUGGAAGAACACCAGUGGCGAAGGCGGCUUACUGGACUGUAACUGACGUUGAGGCUCGAAAGUGUGGGUAGCAAACAGGAUUAGAUACCCUGGUAGUCCACACCGUAAACGAUGAACACUAGGUGUUAGGAGGUUUCCGCCUCUUAGUGCCGAAGCUAACGCAUUAAGUGUUCCGCCUGGGGAGUACGACCGCAAGGUUGAAACUCAAAGGAAUUGACGGGGACCCGCACAAGCGGUGGAGCAUGUGGUUUAAUUCGAAGCAACGCGAAGAACCUUACCAGGUCUUGACAUCCUUUGAAGCUUUUAGAGAUAGAAGUGUUCUCUUCGGAGACAAAGUGACAGGUGGUGCAUGGUCGUCGUCAGCUCGUGUCGUGAGAUGUUGGGUUAAGUCCCGCAACGAGCGCAACCCUUAUUGUUAGUUGCCAGCAUUCAGAUGGGCACUCUAGCGAGACUGCCGGUGACAAACCGGAGGAAGGCGGGGACGACGUCAGAUCAUCAUGCCCCUUAUGACCUGGACUACACACGUGCUACAAUGGCGUAUACAACGAGUUGCCAACCCGCGAGGGUGAGCUAAUCUCUUAAAGUACGUCUCAGUUCGGAUUGUAGUCUGCAACUCGACUACAUGAAGUCGGAAUCGCUAGUAAUCGCGGAUCAGCACGCCGCGGUGAAUACGUUCCCGGGUCUUGUACACACCGCCCGUCACACCAUGGGAGUUUGUAAUGCCCAUAGCCGGUGGCCUAACCUUUUAGGAAGGAGCCGUCUAAGGCAGGACAGAUGACUGGGGUG